rnacentral:rRNA from 1 species
UACGUAGGAGGCAAGGGUUGUCCGGAAGUAUUGGGCGUAAAGCGCGCGCAGGCGGUCCUUUAAGUCUGAUGUGAAAGCCCACGGCUCAACCGUGGAGGGUCAUUGGAAACUGGGGGACUUGAGGGCAGAAGAGGAAAGUGGAAUUCCAAGUGUAGCGGUGAAAUGCGUAGAGAUUUGGAGGAACACCAGUGGCGAAGGCGACUUUCUGGUCUGUAACUGACACUGAGGCGCGAAAGCGUGGGGAGCAAACAGG